rnacentral:rRNA from 1 species
CCGGGGGAACUGAAACAUCUAAGUACCCCGAGGAAAAGAAAUCAACCGAGAUUCCCCCAGUAGCGGCGAGCGAACGGGGAGGAGCCCAGAGCCUGAAUCAGCAUGUGUGUUAGUGGAAGCGUCUGGAAAGGCGCGCGAUACAGGGUGACAGCCCCGUACACAAAAGCGCAUGUGCUGUGAGCUCGAUGAGUAGGGCGGGACACGUGGUAUCCUGUCUGAAUAUGGGGGGACCAUCCUCCAAGGCUAAAUACUCCUGACUGACCGAUAGUGAACCAGUACCGUGAGGGAAAGGCGAAAAGAACCCCGGCGAGGGGAGUGAAAAAGAACCUGAAACCGUGUACGUACAAGCAGUGGGAGCACAGGUUUACCUGUGUGACUGCGUACCUUUUGUAUAAUGGGUCAGCGACUUAUAUUCUGUAGCAAGGUUAACCGAAUAGGGGAGCCGGAGGGAAACCGAGUCUUAAUUGGGCGUUAAGUUGCAGGGUAUAGACCCGAAACCCGGUGAUCUAGCCAUGGGCAGGUUGAAGGUUGGGUAACACUAACUGGAGGACCGAACCGACUAAUGUUGAAAAAUUAGCGGAUGACCUGUGGCU